rnacentral:rRNA from 1 species
UACUAGAGUAGCACUCGCAUAUCAAUAAGCGGAGGAAAAGAAACUAACAAGGAUUCCCCUAGUAACGGCGAGUGAAGCGGGAAGAGCUCAAAUUUGAAAUCUUAAAGGGUUUCCCUUUACGAAUUGUAGUCUAAAGAAGUGUUUUCUGUUGAGGUUUUGGUAAAAGUUCUUUGGAAUAGGACAUCAUAGAGGGUGAGAAUCCCGUAUUUGACCUUUACUUUCAACUUUAGUGAUACACUUUCAAAGAGUCGGAUUGUUUGGGAAUGCAGUCCAAAAUGGGUGGUAAAUUUCAUCUAAAGCUAAAUAUUGGCGAGAGACCGAUAGCGAACAAGUACCGUGAGGGAAAGAUGAAAAGAACUUUGGAAAGAGAGGUUAAACAGUACGUGAAAUUGUCAAAAGGGAAGCGUUUGACACCAGUGUUGUUUUUCUGAAAAUCAAUUAAAGAACUGUUUAUGCUAAGUUGUUUAGACUUUAUCAGCUAUCUGUUUAGUUUUGAGCUUUUCUUUAAUGCACUUUUCAGUUAACAAGUCAACAUCAAUUUCUUUUGCUGUAAAAAAGCUUGAGGAAGGUGGCUUGAGAUUCGUCUUAAGUGUUUAUAGCCUCUUGCCUAUGCAGUCGGAGAGAUUGAGGUCUGCAGCGUAGAUCCUUCGGGGCUAAAUGCAUUUGUGCUAAGUUAUAGCAUUUUAUAGGACAACUUGUUGACUAUGAUUUGUCUUGUAGCUUACUCGCUUAUGUUAUUUUACCUACGCUUAGGAUGUUGAUCUCUCACAGUCGAGC